ACUCCUACGGGUGGCUGCAGUGGGGAAUAUUGCACAAUGGGGGGAACCCUGAUGCAGCCAUGCCGCGUGAAUGAAGAAGGCCUUAGGGUUGUAAAGUUCUUUCGGUGACGAGGAAGGUUGGUAGGUUAAUAGCCUAUCAAAUUGACGUUAAUCACAGAAGAAGCACCGGCUAACUCCGUGCCAGCAGCCGCGGUAAUACGGGGGGUGCGAGCGUUAAUCGGAAUAACUGGGCGUAAAGGGCACGCAGGCGGUGACUUAAGUGAGAUGUGAAAGCCCCGAGCUUAACUUGGGAAUUGCAUUUCAUACUGGGUCGCUAGAGUACUUUAGGGAGGGGUAGAAUUCCACGUGUAGCGGUGAAAUGCGUAGAGAUGUGGAGGAAUACCGAAGGCGAAGGCAGCCCCUUGGGAAUGUACUGACGCUCAUGUGCGAAAGCGUGGGGAGCAAACAGGAUUAGAUACCCUGGUAGUCCACGCUGUAAACGAUGUCGAUUUGGGGAUUGGGCUUUAAGCUUGGUGCCCGUAGCUAACGUGAUAAAUCGACCGCCUGGGGAGUACGGCCGCAAGGUUAAAACUCAAAUGAAUUGACGGGGGCCCGCACAAGCGGUGGAGCAUGUGGUUUAAUUCGAUGCAACGCGAAGAACCUUACCUACUCUUGACAUCCAUGGAAUCUUGUAGAGAUACGAGAGUGCCUUCGGGAACCAUGAGACAGGUGAUGCAUGGUUGUCGUCAGCUCGUG
rnacentral:rRNA from 1 species